AGCUUUGGUUCUUGGAAGACAGGUAAAGUCGGGGAAAUUUAGAAAACCCCCCGGAGUUAACCCUUUAGGGCACACCCCACUGGGAGCGGAAUCCUCUAGUCCGGGUUCUGACAACGUUAAUUUCCUUUGUGUGGGUCAUUUCUUCCUUUUGAAAAGCCAGAAUAAAGUUGACAGUCUUUAUAGAUAAAAGAAAUGAAGUGACAGUACGGGUUAAUCCGAAUAAAUACUAAUUUCUCUCAGAAAUGUUUAAGCAAUCUCAUCCUAGAUUUAAAAAAAGAAAAAAGCCCAAAACAUCACUUUGUGUUGCACAUUCUGCCGCAUCCCUUUUCUCACCCUCUUACAAGGUCUGAAGGGUGGGGGGUGGGUGCGUGGAAGCGCUACUGAUAAUACCAGCUUUAACUACUGGAGUUUCCCUUUGAACAAAUAUUCCAUUUAACCGGGGUUAAUUUACCAUAAAGACAUUCCCGUUGGCACGAAUACUCUCCUGUCCUUGAACACACCUCUUUGAAUGCCUGGACUCUUACAGAAGCCAUUAUUUCGGGGUCUCUUUAAAAAUCAAGCUCCCAUCUCUCUUUCUCUCCCUCCCUCCCUUCUUCCCUCCCUCCUCACCACACCACCCCCAGUGAAAUCUUGGCACCCUGCAAGUGCUCCGUUUCAGCCAGAGAUCCCAGAACCAGCCGCUGUCCCCUGGCAGAAGAGGCCCAGUGCUGAGCCCUGGGCAAGUGUCUGCAGACAUCGCCACCCCUCCUCCCUUACUAGUUUCCCUUACCAACAGAAACCCUUUCCUUUUGCCACCCAAACUAGGUCGCCUCCAAAAGUUUCUCACGAGCUUAGAAAAGAAGAAUGAAAGACAACUCUUAACACAGAAGAGCCCACAAAAGCUACAGCAGCACCAGGGGUGAUGAAGCAGCAACAGACCCAGGCCUUGGAACCAUGGAUGAAAUGGCUGACAUCCCCUCAACCUCACCCCACCCAGAACUCUGCUUCUUGUGCAGCCAAUACCAGGGACACUGCAAGUCUUCUCAAGAUGAACUCUUAAGAUAGCCUUUUCUCUUGCAUGUGACUAGAGGGGUGGCUCAACAAUUCCACACACCCUGGCUGCAUGGCCAAUAUCAAUAUUUUAAAACUAAAUACAAAAGAGACAGAUGACCUCCUGACCCCAGGAAACAGGCCUGCAAGACUGCAAGUAUCCACUACACCAUGCCCAGGGACCUUUUCUUCUUCCAAAUGAACCACAAAAAUCAUACAUGUGUAGCCUGGAAAACACGAUUUUAUAUCCACAAGCAAGAACAUCAAAAAUCCACUCAACAACACAUGUAUAAACAACCAACAAGUACUGAAAUUGCCUGCACUUGAUGGGAAUUGCAAAAUCAUGCCCAGCUCUAUCAGCCCUUAAACUACUACUGUCAAAUUAGGGUAGCAAUUUUUCCCUACUACAAAAUCCACAACGGGUUAGCUUCCCCACCCCCCAUUGCCAGCGCUUUGCCUUUCACUGAAAUGAAUAAAUAACUGUGGAUUUUUUUUUUCCCAUCCUCGGGGAGCUGUUCGGUGUCCCCUGAGGACAAAACUAAAUGAGAAAAAUGACGCUGUUAAUAAUGUCACUGCUGAAAUGCCUGUACUCGACUGUUUAAAAAAAAAAAUACCGUCCCGCUAAGUGUGCCUACAUUUCGGGCACAUUUUCAAACCACCACUGAAUCUGUAUGUAGACUGGCCAGCAUUAAGUUUAGCUGGUUUUCACUUCUGUACAGAAAUGAGGCUAGUUCAUCAACGGAGAUUCCCAGCUUCUAAAGACAUUGCUUUCUGGGAUUACAAAGUCAGCAGUUGCCCUGUAAUUUUUGUAUGAUUUUAAACUUUGAAAAUCACAGUAAUAAUUGUCUUGGUUCACUAACAAUACUUCAGAACUUACAGGCACCUUCACACACAGACUUCUUUGCUGAGCCUGUGAGAGUUGUAGCUAUUGUCCUUUUUCAAAAUCGCUAACACUUAAAACUAUACCAUCAUUUUAUUUCUACAUGUAAGUUGGUUUUUGUUUCCUAUCUACAUGCGCCUUUGUGACAUGAAAAAAAUUGGCUUUAAUGAGCUGUUUAGAAAGCUUUUAUGCAACAUGGCUAAGUUGUCUUUAUAUUGUUCAUGAAGAAAUGUAGAAAGUGCACUGCAAACCAACAUAAACUUUCUGCAUCCCUUUCUGUAAAUCUGUUCUUGAAAACUGCGUUUCUGUUUCAAAACCAAAACAAUCACAAUAAUAAGACUGUUCAUUUUAACUUUCAAAAUAAAAUUUAGCCAACAAUUGCAUAAUUACAAUGAUAGAAAACAAACCACUGGGCCUAUACAAAAUACAUACUAAUAUUUUAAGUAAACUUUGUCUCUGAGAUACAUCUGAAAAUAUUUUACAACACACAGUAAGUUAAUAACUUCCAAAGCAAUAAUAUUGUCAAAUUGUGUGAUGUCACAAGCUCCAAAAGCAAAGCUACAGAUGUUCAUGACAUCACAUUCACUCAUAAUUAUGUUGCUGCUGUCUGACCAUCUUAAACCGAUGACUCUGUCUACUAAAGAAUAAAAAGAAUUUAUUUUGGACAUCAAA